AUAAGUCUGUUUUCAAAGACUCCAGCUCAACUGGGGAAAGGGAAUGGAUACUGUAAAUCUGGAGGUUAUUGGAGGUUAGUGGAAUUUCCGGUGGAGCGGUGAAAUGCGUUGAUAUCGGAAGGAAGGCCAAAAGCGAAAGCAGCUAACUACAAUAAACCUGACGGUGAGAGACGAAAGCAUGGGUAGCCAACGGGAUUAGAUACCCCGGUAGUCCAUGCCGUAAAUGAUGCUUGCUAGAUGUUUUGGUCACUUUUGUGACUGGAGUGUCGCAACCAAACGGGUUAAGCAAGCCGCCUGGGUAGUAUAUUCGCAAGAAUGAAACUCAAAGGGAUAGGCGGGGGAUCACACAAGCAGUGGAUGAUCUAGAUUAAUUGGAUAAUAAGCCAAGAAUCUCACCUGGGAUUGACAUAUACUGUGUCCCAUAGGAAACUAUGGUAUCCUGACUUUGUCAGGAACGGUAUACAGGUGGUGCAUGGUCGUCGUCAGCUCGUGCCGCAAGGUGUCUAGUUAAGUCUAGGAACGAGCGCAACCCUCAUCGUUAGUUAGGAUGUCUAACGAGACUGCCUGGGCAACCAGGAGGAAGGAGAGGAUGACGUCAGAUCCUCAUGCCCCUUACACCCAGGGCUUCAUAGAUCAUACAAUGGGUUGUACAAUGAGAAGCGAUGCCGCGAGGCUCAGCAAAUCUCGAAAGCAACCCCUAAUUCGGAUUGUAGUCUGGAAC
rnacentral:rRNA from 1 species